UCCUGUGCAGUCAGAGUUGACAUUUUUCUGCUUGAACUUUUUUUUGCUGAGAAGAGACUUCCUUUAAGGGAAAAUGUGAGAAAGCAGAAAGGUUUGGCUGAAAAGAGACUUCCUUAAAGGGAAAAUGUGAGAAAGCAGAAAGGUUUGGCUGAAAAGAGACUUCCUUAAAGGGAAAAUGUCAGAAAGCAGAAAGGUUUGGCUGAAAAGAGACUUCCUUAAAGGGAAAAUGUGAGAAAGCAGAAAGGUUUGGCUGAAAAGAGACUUCCUUAAAGGGAAAAUGUGAGAAAGCAGAAAGGUUUGGCUGAAAAGAGACUUCCUUAAAGGGAAAAUGUGAGAAAGCAGAAAGGUUUGGCUGAAAAGAGACUUCCUUAAAGGGAAAAUGUGAGAAAGCAGAAAGGUUUGGCUGAAAAGAGACUUCCUUAAAGGGAAAAUGUGAGAAAGCAGAAAGGUUUGACUGAGUAGAGACUUCCUUAAAGGGAAAAUGUGAGAAAGCAGAAAGGUUUGACUGAGAAGAGACUUCUUUAAAGGGAAAAUGUGAGAAAGCAG